AUUGAACGCUGGCGGCAGGCCUAACACAUGCAAGUCGAGCGGUUGAGGUAGCUUGCUACCGAUGCAGCGGCGAACGGGUGAGUAAUACAUGGGAAUCUGCCUGGUAGUGGGGGACAACGUUUCGAAAGGAACGCUAAUACCGCAUACGCCCUACGGGGGAAAGGGGGGGAUCGCAAGACCUCUCGCUAUCAGAUGAGCCCAUGUCAGAUUAGCUAGUUGGUGAGGUAAAGGCUCACCAAGGCGACGAUCUGUAACUGGUCUGAGAGGAUGAUCAGUCACACUGGAACUGAGACACGGUCCAGACUCCUACGGGAGGCAGCAGUGGUGAAGAUUGGACAAUGGGGGCAACCCUGAUCCAGCCAUGCCGCGUGUGUGAAGAAGGCCUUAGGGUUGUAAAGCACUUUCAGUGGGGAGAAAGGUGAUUCACCUAAUACGUGAGUCAAUUGAUGCUACCCACAGAAGAAGCACCGGCUAACUCCGUGCCAGCCGCCGCGGUAA
rnacentral:rRNA from 1 species